AGUCACCGCUAUUGGAAUACGAUUAAGGCAUGCGAGUCGAGAGUCUUAGGGACUCGGCAGACGGCUCAGUAACACGUAGAUAAUCUGCCCUUAGGUAGGGGAUAACCUCGAGAAAUUGAGAAUAAUACCCUAUAGGUCUAAGAUGCUGGAAUGUUUUUAGAUUGAAAGCUCCGGCGCCUAAGGAUGAGUCUGCGGCCUAUCAGGUUGUAGUGAGUGUAACGGACUCACUAGCCGACGACGGGUACGGGCCCUGAGAGGGGAAGCCCGGAGAUGGACUCUGAGACACGAGUCCAGGCCCCAAGGGGCGCAGCAGCUACGAAAACUUCACAAUGUGGGAAACCGCGAUGAGGGAAUUCCGAGUGCUGCAGUUUAACUGUAGCUGUUUACUUGCCUAAAAAGCAAGUAGAGUAAGGGCUGGGUAAGACUGGUGCCAGCCGCCGCGGUAAUACCAGCAGCCCUAGUGGUGAUCGUUUUUAUUGGGCCUAAAGCGUCCGUAGCCGGUUUGGUAAACCCUUGGGUAAAUCGAGCAGCUUAACUGUUCGAAUUCUGAGGAGACUGCCAGACUUGGGACCGGGAGAAGUUGGAAGUACUUUUGGGGUAGGGGUGAAAUCCUGUAAUCCCAAAAGGACUACCGGUGGCGAAGGCGUCCAACUAGAACGGGUUCGACGGUAAGGGACGAAGCCCUGGGUCACGAACCGGAUUAGAUACCCGGGUAGUCCAGGGUGUAAACGCUGCAGGCUUGGUGUUGGGGGUCCUACGUGGGCGUCCAGUGCCGAAGAGAAGUUGUUAAGCCUGCCGCCUGGGGAGUACGAUCGCAAGAUUGAAACUUAAAGGAAUUGGCGGGGGAGCACAGCAACGGGUGGAGCGUGCGGUUU
rnacentral:rRNA from 1 species